GUACUCCCGAAAUUGACUGUUCAGGUCACUGAAAGCAAGGAAAGCCUGAUAAACUGCCACGGCCACGAGGAGUCUAAGGACACAUCCAAUUUCCAUUCGCAUCCAAAAUGGAAUCCGAGACAGAAAGAGGACCUUAGCCUUCAUAUCUGUUUUUUUCUUAUGAAGCUUCUUCUGGUUGGAAACUUGUCAAAUUUCAUCAGGAAUACAGAGAUUUCGCAUGAUUUCUUAAUGGGAUUCAGCUGCCUACGCUGCAGUGCUUUCAGCUGUAUUUGAGAAUGCACUGUGUUUCUGCCUUGUUUUACGUUUGCAGAUGGCUGGAACUCUCCGUGUCUCCUUUUCUUUCUGUCAUGGCUGGCAAGAGCUCAUGGGCCAUGAGCUGCAUCUUUAUAAACAUGAACAGAUUAGCAGGUAUUCCCAAAUGGGACAAAUGCUACCUUAUUGCAGACAGUUUCUAGUAUAGUCCCACAUUCUUUGAGAAAGUAGGUGGAGACCCCAUCAGCACCAGGCCACUGGCAGCAAAUGGUUGUAGCCAGGAGCCAGAAUAGAGCAAGUCCAGCCUGAGCCUGUGGUCGGCAGUGGAGAAGAGAGGGUCGCAGACCUGAGGCAAAGGGCAGCCUGAACAAUCAAGAACCAGAGCAGCCCUGGCACCCGACACCCAGGAGAGUGGGCUACAGGAAGAGGAUCUGAGACCAGAGCCCACAGAGUCUGCAGAAACUAGAGGCACAAGGCACGAGGAAUCACAAAGCAAACUUAAGUGCC
rnacentral:lncRNA from 1 species